rnacentral:rRNA from 1 species
CCAAGGAUUCCUGGGGAAGGUUCAUCCGCCCAGGGUAAGUCGGGGCCUAAGCCGAGGACGAUAGUCGUAGGCGAUGGAAAACAGGUUGAGAUUCCUGUACCGCCCAUAUGAGUGAUGCAUUGACACAGAAGGAUAGCAAGAGCCGGUUGAUGGUAGAGCCGGUCGAAGAGCGUAGGCUGCUUGGUAGUGAAGUACGCCAGGCGUAAGGCUGAAACUUGAUAGGGAGCGAAAAUAAGUAGCGAAGCAUGCGAAUCCCCGCUGGCGAGAAAAGAUGCUGGCAAUGAUAUGGGCGCCCGUACCGCAAACCGACGCAGGUGGGCGAGGAGAGAAUCCUAAGACGAACGAGAGAACUCUUGUUAAGGAACUCGGCAAAAUGACCACGUAACUUCGGGAGAAGUGGUGCCUCGAAAGAGGCCGCAGAGAAUAGGCCCAAGCGACUGUUUAGCAAAAACACAGGUGUUUGCGAAAGCGAGAGCUGAAGUAUAAGCGCUGACGCCUGCCCGGUGCUGGAAGGUUAAGAGGAGUUGUCAGGCAACGAAGCAGCGAAUCGAAGCCCCAGUAAACGGCGGCCGUAACGAUAACGGUCCUAAGGUAGCGAAAUUCCUUGUCGGGUAAGUUCCGACCCGCACGAAUGGCGUAACCUUGGGUACUGUCUCAACAAGAGACUCGGUGAAAUUGAAGUAUGUGUGAAGAUGCACAUUACCCGCGACUGGACGGAAAGACCCCGUAGAGCUUUACUGUAGCUUAGCAUUGGAUUUCGAUAAUGGAUGUACAGGAUAGGUGGGAGACUGGGAGACUGUGGCGUCAGCUGCAGAGGAGUCGGUGUUGGGAUACCACUCUUCUGUUAUUGAAAUUCUAACAAGCAGCCGUGAACCGGCGCUUGGACCGUGCUAGGUAGGCAGUUUGACUGGGGCGGUCGCCUCCCAAAGAGUAACGGAGGCGCCCAAAGGUUCCCUCAGAAUGGAUGGAAACCAUUCGAAGAGUGCAAAGGCAGAAGGGAGCCUGACUGCGAGACGGACAGGUCGAGCAGAGAGGAAACUCGGGCUUAGUGAUCCGGCGGUAUUGAGUGGAAAAGCCGUCGCUCAACGGAUAAAAGCUACCUCGGGGAUAACAGGCUGAUCUCCCCCAAGAGUCCACAUCGACGGGGAGGUUUGGCACCUCGAUGUCGGCUCGUCGCAUCCUGGGGCUGAAGCAGGUCCCAAGGGUUUGGCUGUUCGCCAAUUAAAGCGGCACGCGAGCUGGGUUCAGAACGUCGUGAGACAGUUCGGUCCCUAUCCAUCGUGGGCGAAGGAAUCAUGAAAGGAGCUGUCCCUAGUACGAGAGGACCGGGAUGGACGCAUCACUGGUGAAACUGUUGUCGUGCCAACGGCAUAGCAGGGAAGCGAAAUGCGGACGGGAUAAACGCUGAGGGCAUCUAAGCGUGAAGCCCACCUUAAGAUAAAGAUUCCCACAGCGUAAGCUGGUAAGACCCCUUGAAGACGACAAGGUUGAUAGGUCAGCGCUGGAAGCGCGGUAACGCGUGGAGGUUGCUGAUACUAAUAGGUCGAGGGCUUGAU